rnacentral:rRNA from 1 species
GUGCCAGCGCCGCGGUAAUACCGGCAGCCCGAGUGAUGGCCGAUCUUAUUGGGCCUAAAGCGUCCGUAGCUGGCCGAACAAGUCCGUCGGGAAAUCCACGUGCUUAACGAGUGGGCGUCCGACGGAAACUGCACAGCUUGGGACCGGAAGGCUCGAAGGGUACGUGCGGGGUAGGAGUGAAAUCCCAUAAUCCCGCACGGACCACCGAUGGCGAAAGCACUUCGAGAAAACGGAUCCGACAGUGAGGGACGAAAGCCAGGGUCUCCAACCGGAUUAGGAACCCGGGUAGUCC